UACGUAGGGUGCAAGCGUUAAUCGGAAUUACUGGGCGUAAAGGGUGCGUAGGCGGUUCGGUAAGUCUGUCGUGAAAUCCCCGGGCUCAACCUGGGAAUGGCGAUGGAUACUGGCGAGCUAGAGUGUGUCAGAGGAUGGUGGAAUUCCCGGUGUAGCGGUGAAAUGCGUAGAGAUCGGGAGGAACAUCAGUGGCGAAGGCGGCCAUCUGGGACAACACUGACGCUGAAGCACGAAAGCGUGGGGAGCAAACAGG
rnacentral:rRNA from 1 species